UAGGGAAUCUUCCGCAAUGGGCGAAAGCCUGACGGAGCAACGCCGCGUGAGUGAAGAAGGAUUUCGGUUCGUAAAGCUCUGUUGUUAGGGAAGAAUGAUUGUGUAGUAACUAUACACAGUAGAGACGGUACCUAACCAGAAAGCCACGGCUGACUACGUGCCAGCAGCCGCGGUAAUACGUAGGUGGCAAGCGUUGUCCGGAAUUAUUGGGCGUAAAGCGCGCGCAGGUGGUUUAAUAAGUCUGAUGUGAAAGCCCACGGCUCAACCGUGGAGGGUCAUUGGAAACUGUUAAACUUGAGUGCAGGAGAGAAAAGUGGAAUUCCUAGUGUAGCGGUGAAAUGCGUAGAGAUUAGGAGGAACACCAGUGGCGAAGGCGGCUUUUUGGCCUGUAACUGACACUGAGGCGCGAAAGCGUGGGGAGCAAACAGGAUUAGAUACCCUGGUAGUCCACGCCGUAAACGAUGAGUGCUAAGUGUUGGUCUCAUAAGAGAUCAGUGCUGCAGCUAACGCAUUAAGCACUCCGCCUGGGGAGUACGACCGCAAGGUUG
rnacentral:rRNA from 1 species